AGUUAAGAAGCGAAUGUCGCUUUUAGGUUCGAUCUAAACUCUGGAAAAUUUAUUUCCCUUAAUUA
rnacentral:tRNA from 1 species